rnacentral:rRNA from 1 species
AAGUCGAGCGCGAAAAGCUUUCGGGCUGAGUAGAGCGGCGGACGGGUGAGUAACGCGUAGGAAUCUACCUGGUAGUGGGGGACAACUUGGGGAAACUCAAGCUAAUACCGCAUACGCCCUAAGGGGGAAAGCGGGGGACCUUCGGGCCUCGCGCUAUCGGAUGAGCCUGCGUAGGAUUAGCUAGUUGGUGGGGUAAAGGCCCACCAAGGCGACGAUCCUUAGCUGGUCUGAGAGGAUGAUCAGCCACACUGGAACUGAGACACGGUCCAGACUCCUACGGGAGGCAGCAGUGGGGAAUAUUGCGCAAUGGGCGAAAGCCUGACGCAGCCAUGCCGCGUGUGUGAAGAAGGCCUUAGGGUUGUAAAGCACUUUCAAUUGGGAAGAAAAGUUUGUCGUUAAUAGCGCCAAGCUCUGACAUUACCUUUAGAAGAAGCACCGGCUAACUCCGUGCCAGCAGCCGCGGUAAUACGGAGGGUGCGAGCGUUAAUCGGAAUUACUGGGCGUAAAGCGCGCGUAGGCGGUUUGUUAAGUCAGCUGUGAAAGCCCCGGGCUCAACCUGGGAACUGCAGUUGAUACUGGCCGACUAGAGUACGAGGGGAGGGAGGUAGAAUUCCAUGUGUAGCG